rnacentral:rRNA from 1 species
UCUGGAGCGCGACAACUCGGGAAACUGAGGUAAUCGUGCAUACCGCUCUCACGCUGGAAGUUGCGGAGAGCUUGAAAUGUCCCGGCGCCAGAGGAUGUGGCUGCGGCCGAUUAGGUAGACGGUGGGGUAACGGCCCACCGUGCCAGUAAUCGGUACGGGUUGUGAGAGCAAGAGCCCGGAGACGGUAUCUGAGACAAGAUACCGGGCCCUACGGGGCGCAGCAGGCGCGAAACCUUUACACUGCACGCCAGUGCGAUAAGGGGACUCCAAGUGCGAGGGCAUAGAGCCCUCGCUUUUCUGUACCGUAAGGUGGUACAAGAAUAAGUGCUGGGCAAGACCGGUGCCAGCCGCCGCGGUAAUACCGGCAGCACGAGUGAUGGCCGCUCUUAUUGGGCCUAAAGCGUCCGUAGCUGGCCGCGCAAGUCCAUCGGGAAAUCCGCACGCCUAACGUGCGGGCGUCCGGUGGAAACUGCGUGGCUUGGGACCGGAAGAUCCAGAGGGUACGUCCGGGGUAGGAGUGAAAUCCUGUAAUCCUGGACGGACCACCGGUGGCGAAAGCGCUCUGGAAAGACGGAUCCGACGGUGAGGGACGAAAGCUCGGGUCACGAACCGGAUUAGAUACCCGGGUAGUCCGAGCUGUAAACGAUGUCUGCUAGGUGUGCCACAGGCUACGAGCCUGUGGUGUGCCGUAGGGAAGCCGUGAAGCAGACCGCCUG